rfam:Ovis aries breed Texel chromosome 12, whole genome shotgun sequence.
GGCUCAGAGGAUAAAGCAUCUGCCUGCAAUGCAGGAGACCCAGGUUCGAUCCCUGG